rnacentral:misc_RNA from 1 species
GUGCCGCACUUGCUUGCGGUGCCCCGUUGCGCUCUGCACUCACUCAAGGAAAAGCAAACACGCGGCGGCGUUGUUCAGCCCAAGUAACACUUUACGGGGGCAUCGUCGUGCAUAUAUAUAUAUAUAUUGUGAUUUGGGCUACACAUAGAAGCGUGUGAGGGAACGGUGGUGUUGCUCCGUUUCGCAUUCGUUCUCCUCUACUCCGCCAUCAUAGAAAAACAAGCACGUGCGUUCUCACCGUUCGCGAACACACGGAAGGGGGUGGUGAGGGAGGGGUGCCAUCGACGCAGCAGCGCGAUAUCCUCGGUGCCUUCCUCCAAACACGCACACACACACGCAGAAGCCUCUGCUGCCUCAUCCACUCCACCAAUCAUUUCUUUUCGUGCCUUGUUCGCUUUCUGAUAGAAGGGUGUACAUAUAUACAUUUUCACACACACUGUACCCAUGUCUUCGUCCCACACGGAGAGAGCAGUAUCCCGAACGCAAGGGGUGCAGGGCUCCACGCCGACGAAUGCCGGAAGUAGCAAGCUGGGCACGCUCUCCGUCAGCGAGCUCCGCACGGCGAUGCAGCAGCACCUCCGCUCCACAGGGGCUCUGCGUGAGCUCAAAACGCAGCUACGUGGCAUGGUGCUUGCCGAGAUUCUACAACAGCCCAAGACGGCCAGGAUGCUCGUGCACGGGGCGUCGCAGUCGGUCCCACCGUCACUAGGAGAAGGGCAGAGGAAGCUGGAUGACAGUAAGGCUUCCGCUGCCGGGUCACCUGGCACACCAGCCAUCGCCAUCGUCUCGGGCCGGGCAGACCACACCUUGCAGACCUGGUCGUGCGGCUUGGCAGACGCCCUCGUCGAGAAUCACCUGCGUCGCACGAGGCGCGCAAUGUCACUCUCCAUCUUCAGCACAGAAGCCGAAGUACCACCUUUCAGUGUGAGCGGCGCCCCAGCGGAGGAGGAGCAGUACCUCGCCCACCUCUUCCGGCAGAUCGACGCUGGUACCUCCGCCAACCCCGAGGACGACAUACUCGCCCCCUCCCCGUCCCACUCUAUGAAGAGUGUGUUGCAGCGACUUGUGGAGGACUACGUGGCGCGGCAGGGCCUCGCGAGCACCGCGGAGGUGGCACGGCACCUGCACAGUUGCAGCACCCAGACUGAAGCGGCCGAUUGCGCCGAUAGUGCGACGAACCCCCUCAACUCGCUUGAGUGCCGCCUUGCCGCCGUCGAUGCCAAGUAUGCGCUCACCUUUGCUCAACUGAAGCGGACCGGUGGCUCGGGGGAGCAGCCUUUCUUUCUCCGCUCCGAGGUGGAACGUCGCCUGCAGCAGCACAAGAACGACAUGCACGCGCAGCUGCGCAGCGAGUACGAGCAGAAGUACAACAGCUUCACUCGAGUCAAGCUGCAAGAGGCACGCGACGAGGCGGAAGGGCGGUACCGCCUCCUUGCGCAGAACAAGACAGAGGAGCUGGCCGAGAUGGAGCGCAGUCUGCUCGUCAAGCUGGAGCAGGAGCGGCAGCGGCUGAAGAUGGCGUGGGAGGACGUUCACCAGCAGCGCGCAGAGCUGGAGAGGCGCCAGCGCGACACUAUAAAACAGCUGGCGGACUACGACGCGGCGAAGCAGCAGAGUGACGCGGAGCUGCACUCAUGGAAGGAGAAGACACGCGCGCUGCAGCUGCAGUGUGCCAAGUGGGAAGAGCUCUGCGGGACACGGCUUAUGGAGUUGGACGGCGCUCGCAGUCGUGAGGAGCGGCGUGUGGAGGACAUCCGUCGCCUGCAGGCUGAGCACGCCGCGGAGUUGCAGCUGAAGGAGGAGGAGAUUGGCCGUCUGCGCUACCGCCUCCGCCUCGUCUCGCGCGAGAGCGACUACUCUCACUCUACCGCCGCCGCAGCAGCAGCAGCCUCAACGGGCCGAAAUGAGAACACGGACACCAGCACCGUACCACAGGCACCGCCCCGCACUUCAACUGCGCCGGUUGACCCACAGCAGCUCUACGGCCUUCUCCUCCGUGCGGAGGAGAUGCACCGGAAUGCAGCGGUGCAGCAGCAGCAGAAGCGGUGGGACGCAGCGUGGGUAGCCGCUGCUGCUGCCGCCGCCGUAUCUCCUGCGCCAGCCACGGCAGCGGCGGCGGCAACGCCAGAACGCGUAUUUGCGGUGUGCCGCAGCUCGUCGCCGGCGCCGGCGCCACAGGCAGCAGUGUAUCCGUUGCCAUCAAGUGAAGGGCAGGUCGCUCGGCGGUCACCUGACCGCUCGGAGUCUUCGGACAACCAAGUGGCAGCGGCGUCCACCCCAGUCGCCGCGAUCAUGUCGGCCUCCACCUCAGCAGCUACCCCGGCAACUUCCUCGCCCAAGGUAAGCUCCCCAGCGCCGACGGACACCGCUACUGCGGCCAAGCCUCCCCCAUCCUCCGCUGACAAGCCUCGGGAAAGCAGCGCCUCAUCGAAGAAAUCUCUCAGCACCAGAGCCUCAGUCGCACCACCAUCAUCCUCGGUAUCGUCCACGCACCCAACUCCCCAGAAGCCAACAAGUGUGCCGGACGUCGAAGCCCAAGCCGCCGAGUCACUUACGUCGUCCAGCACGCGUAUGAGCACGUCUUCAUCCAGCGUACCGUCCAGCACCUCGGCAAUGCCGGUGCAGCCUAGCGUUCAUAAUGCAGAUGAUGAUUCCAAAAACAAAACUGCCGCCACAGCGCUCCUCAGCUCCGUGACUGAGGAGGAGCAGAGUGGCCGUGAUGAGGUGCAGUCGGAGGAAGCCAGCGCGCGUGACAGCAUCGCGUGGUUGGAAAGAAAUCGACGCGAGCUACUGACAGAGGAUUUGAAGCGUGCCCGCAGUGAGGGCGGCGUAGUCUCGCCCUGGAAGCACUUUGGCGGCGGAUCGUCGGGGCCUCAGUUUGGCGGCACUGCUGCUGCCGCUGAUGUGGACUUCAAUGAGUCUUUUAGCAGCGACGACGCAGCGCUCAUUCACGACUCGGAUGAGGAUGACGUGGAGUUUUAGAGAAGAGUCUUGCAUGUUGUUGUCGUUUUCCAACCUGCAGCACUCAGCUGCACGAGUCUCGCCGACGCAUGCAGAGCAACUGCAAGCACAAGCUUGAAGGGAGGAACGAUGUCGCACUCUAUGGAGAAAUGAUUGCGGGCGACUGUUGCAUUAUGCACCCGCACCCCCGCUCACUAGGCGUUCGAGACGCGAGAAUGACGAAGAUCAUCACUGCUGCAGUGUCUCUCAUAUCCUUUCUUUCAUCCAUUACUCCCACAGCCCUUCCUGAUGGCGUGUGGCAGGAAGUGCCUCAGUGCGUGGUGGUGUCACAGGGCCCAGUACAUCCCCUCCCACUCUCUCUGUGUGUGCGUGGAGAAGCCGGGCAGCCCCCCUCCCCUCCUGUGCUUGCGAAAUGCCGAGCGGCUUCUGGCGGUGACAGGGUCUGGUGACUGCGACGUGGGGAGGCCAGAGCGAUGCAUUGCUACUGAUGUCGGCAGUGAGGUCGUGGGCGGCGUUGCGUCGGAGCGACCCGCGCCGCUGAACGCGCCGGCGCCAUCGACAUGAUGGGCGAAGUGCCAGCGUGACUGGAAGGCGUCGCAGCCGGCCCUCACACUGCCCGCUGGUGUGUGUGGCGGGGGGCCUGGGGCACCGCGCGAGGGGGUGCGCGAGGUGGUGGCGUGCGUGAUAGGUGCGACUGUGAGGCGACCUGCGAGGCGGGUGAUCGGGUGGAGCUUGAGACAGAGGCCGUGCUCUCCGAUGGCCGAGCCGGCGCAUGGCUGUACUGGUCGUGUGUCGACGGCUGCCAUCGCACCACGUGGACGAGGCCGGUGGGUGGAAGCGUGGCGUUUGACCUCGUGUUGUAUGGCAAAGAAAUGGGCUGACGUUUCAAAGCAAGAGAAGAAAAAAUAUACAGCUCCACAGAAAAGCAUUACAUGCGCUCACAGAGAGAGAGACGGAGACGUGCGUGCGCACACCGAGCGAAAGCCUCAAGGGUGGCCGUCACGGAUGGGCAGAUCGGCAUACCCUGUGACCGCCGUGGAGUAGCACCCCUGUGCUGAGCUGCCCCCGUGUAUGCGCUUUUACGGCCUUGCAAGUGAGCGGUCUAGACUUUGUUCGGCGCGCAGCGGGGCGCGACUCCUUUUUCUGCAUAUGUGUGGGAUCCCUCUUCCCCUUAUGCUGACUCGCAUCACCUCCCUCCCUCUCCCUCUCCCUCUCGCCCAUGUCUCUCGGUGUGGUGAACGUCUGCAACACUUCGCUUGCCGUGCUGCAUUUUUGAUCGGACGUGUGAGCGACGCUCAUCGAUGCGAAAC